UACGUAGGGAGCAAGCGUUGUCCGGAUUUACUGGGUGUAAAGGGUGCGUAGGCGGCUUUGCAAGUCAGAAGUGAAAUCCAUGGGCUUAACCCAUGAACUGCUUUUGAAACUGCAGAGCUUGAGUGGAGUAGAGGUAGGCGGAAUUCGUGGUGUAGCGGUGAAAUGCUUAGAUAUCACGAAGAACCCCGAUUGCGAAGGCAGCCUGCCGCAGCGUUACUGACGCUGAAGCUCGAAAGCGCGGGUAUCGAACAGG
rnacentral:rRNA from 1 species